UCUGAUAUGCCCUGUCUGGAGUUUCGGUGCACUCACUGUCACAUUCAUUUUACUCAGGCGAGCAGGUGACUGCAUAUAUAGCACCUAAUCAAUUUAUAAGCGUCCAUGGCUACCUCUUGAUACAUCAUUCUAUAUGGACCUUGGAGAUUGUACCUGCAUCUGUGCGUACAGAGUACUGUGGUGCCCUUUUCUGGUAUGAAGAACGUUGUCAAAAUACAUCUACCAGUAGACAUGUCAAGUAUACACAAUGUCAAGUUGCCUGUUUCAAAGACGGUUUUCGAAGAAACUCAAGAGAUUCCAAUUGAUAUGCUUUAUAGGGAGUUCUGCCGGUAACUAGAAAGUUCGCGGAAGGACUUAUUCUAAUUUCUGCAGAUAAAUUGGAGCCAUAUCUGGUGCUAUGGUCAAUGUUUAACUAGACAACGGUUCGCUUGUAAGUUAAGAUCAUUAAACAGCCAAAUGUUUCCCUUCCUGCUCUAUGCAUGCACCAAUGCCAAACUACAGUCUACAAAGAGUGAACAAAGAUAUAAUCCAUUUUACCUAAGAUCUCGAGGGAUGACUGCGUCGGGCCAUGAAAUUAUACUAUUUGGGAAAAAUUAAUCCAUAAAAAAGGUAACCCAUUUACACGAAUUUCCUAUUAAAGGUAACCUAUUUUGUUUUCGUUUAUUUAAAAGAUCUCAUUUUCAAAAAAUUCAUGAUAAAAGGUAUCUUGUUAGUUUUUGACAAACGACGUCUGUUAAGUGCAACGUCAGCAAAACUGAUGACGUGGCAUAUU